GACGAACGCUGGCGGCGUGCUUAACACAUGCAAGUCGAACGAUGAACUUGGAUCUUGCUCUGGGGGAUUAGUGGCGAACGGGUGAGUAACACGUGAGUAACCUGCCCUGGACUCUGGGAUAACUUCGAGAAAUCGGAGCUAGUACCGGAUAGGACCUUGCACCGCAUGGUGUGGGGUGGAAAGUUUUUCGGUGUGGGAUGGACUCGCGGCCUAUCAGCUUGUUGGUGAGGUAAUGGCUCACCAAGGCGUCGACGGGUAGCCGGCCUGAGAGGGUGACCGGCCACACUGGGACUGAGACACGGCCCAGACUCCUACGGGAGGCAGCAGUGGGGAAUAUUGCACAAUGGGCGCAAGCCUGAUGCAGCAACGCCGCGUGCGGGAUGACGGCCUUCGGGUUGUAAACCGCUUUUAGUAGGGAAGAAGCCUUCGGGUGACGGUACCUGCAGAAAAAGGACCGGCUAACUACGUGCCAGCAGCCGCCGUAAAAC
rnacentral:rRNA from 1 species